rnacentral:lncRNA from 1 species
AUAUUUGCAGGGUUAGGAGAUCGAAACAUGAGCCGUAUUGUAAAGUACCGGACUUCUAAAAUCAUGAAGUUACGGUGUACAUUUGGUUGGAGAGCUGUUUGAAUGGUACCGGUGAAGUUUGGUGAAGUUCUGGAGCAAUCGGGCGUUUCGGUGCACAUAGGCGCGAAAACGGAAUCCGGAAGGCUAAGUUGGGCCGUGAGCUAAAUCCAGCAUUAGCGAGGAUGGAAAGAUGAUGAAAACAUAUUUGGAAAUAUGUUUGGAGAGUCUCGGUUCGAUUUGAGACGAAUCGGAGGUCAAACGAGCGAAAACGGGCGAAAACAGCGAAAAUGGACGAAGCUGAAAUUUGGCUAAGUCUGGGCUGGAGGUCUCUUUGGGACCGGUCCCAGGCAGAGAGACCGGUCUCUCAGGGACCGGUCCCUCAUGCAGAGACCGGUCCCCGAACCCCGAAAAUGCCCAGUUCGGGCUGUUGCAAGAGAGGCUUUGUUGAGGGGUUCUUCUGCAAAUGUUGCAUGAGAAGGGUUAAGUGAGGGGUUUCUCCCUCAUUUCUCUCACUCCCUCACACUCUAAAGCCCUAAACUCCC